CAUCAACAAGACACUGGAAGUCAGUGAGAUGGCUGCCAACAUCAUAAGAUGGGCACAUGGGGGUGAUCUAGGGUAUGGAAGCCUGACAAAGCUGAUGAAAGCUGGUUCUCCCUUGAAGAAUGCAUUUUGGAUGAAAGAAAAAAAAAUGACCAUUAAUAGGCUUCAGUCCUCUUUUUUUUUCUUGUUUCAGAACAUUCUGAAUCAUAUCUACUGUGCGAGGAAAGCUGCCUGUGGCACUGAUCUAAAUGAUAAAUGGAGAGAAGUCAAAAGAGACAAGGAAAGGAAUAUGCAGAAGCAAGAGGAUGUUUGGGAAAAGACUGUAAGUCAUGAAUUUGAAGAACACUAGUUCUUAGCUGGAGAGCUAGAAGUACAAGAUGUGAAUGUGGAGCUCCCUGGCCUGGCCCUAAUGAAGCUUGCUGUCUAAAGAAAAUAUAGUUGACCUUUGAAUAAUAUGGGAUUGAGCGGUAUGGGGCCACUUACAUGUGGAUUUUUUUUGCAAUAAAAACAAUACCAUAAAUGAUUUUUUGUUCUGUAUGAUUUUCUUUUCUCUAGUAUGUAUGACAUACAACAUAUAAAACAUAUGCUAAUUGACUGUUCAUGUUAUGGAUAAGAUUUCAGGUCAACAGUAGGCUAUUAGUAGUUAUAGUUUUUGGUGAGUCAAAACUUAUAUGUGGACUCUGAACUGUGGGAAAGGGGGUUGGUGCCCCUAAUCCCUGUGUUGUUUAAGGGUCAACUGUGUAUGUGUAGGUGCUCCAGGAGGAAGGGCUCUAUGCUUUGCAGGUGGACAGGAGGAGAGCCUGGGCUGAGGAAGGAGAUGGACAGAUCCAUUCCUCAUUUCUCUGUAAACUGCAGGGCACAGAGCCAGCUCACCACUUUCGUUAGAACUUUCCUGCUCCACUCUUUUCUAAGUGGGAAUGAGGGAUGUAAGUGAAAAUCCUGUAUAUUAGGAACAAUCUGGGUAUAUCCAGACAAAACUGCAUGUAGUGGAAGACACUAUGGUUUACAUGUUUGGGGGAAAAGAGCCCUGGGCCUCAGUUUCACUGCAGAUAUCCUAGUCUGCCAUACUUCUGUGAAGCACACCGCACCAAGAGUAGGGUAUCAGUGAGCUAAAAUCCUGGGACACACUUGGCCACAGGGCUCUAAGUCCUGGGAAGUGACUGCAAAUCUCACAAAGUGACUGAAACACAACAACUUAAAAUAUGCAGGUAGUUAGACAAAGGGGUCCCUAGUCAUCAUGUUAGAAUUGAGAAUUUCUAGACCCUAGGAAGAUAUAUGAGAAGAGGGUAGCAUGGUAACUAGAAGCUUGGAAUUUGGAGUGAGGUGAACCUAAAUUCAUACCUUCACUCUAUCCCUUUAUCAACUAUUUGGCUCUGGGCAAUUAUCUGAUCUGUUGGAGCCUCUGUUUCUUACUUUCUGAAAUGGUUAUAAUACACACAUAUGUACAUAGUUUAUAAGGCGAUUGUAAAGAGUAAAUGAGACAGUAUCUUUAAAAGACUUAGUAGAGUCCCCAGUGCAAGUUGAAUAAACAAUAAUCAAUCAGUAUUCUCCUUCAUGGCAGUUGUAGUUUUGGGGUAGGUAAAAAUGGAAGGCAGUGGGAUGGAGAACAUAUGUCUGGGAUGUUCUGGUGUUUAUAGGAACAAUGACCAAGGCAGAGGCUCAAUUUUCCAUAACCAAUAGAACUAUAACACACAAGGGUAGGUAGAAAUUUGGCUACCCUAUACAGCCACCCAACCAGGGAAGGAGGUGGCUAGGGUCAUUUGUUGCCAGUCCAUGGCAGUGUGUCCCGGGACACUGACAUCCUUCUUCAGGAAAGCAUUGAGUGCCAGUGAGCCAUCCUGAAAAGUGCAUAGGGACUUAGGUUUAAGGCUGAUCUCUAUACUCUACUAGCCUUGUGACAGGUUCAAGUUACUUAACUUAUAAACCAAGGGUUGGGGGAAGAGGAAGAGCUUAUCUUUCAGAGCUAGAGUGAAGGAGCCUAGAGAGUGCCUGGUGAGUGGUCGAAAUUCAGAAAGUGUUAGCAUGGGUGGGGCUGAGCCCAUACACAGCACUUAGUUGUUCAGACCUUAGGGAGAGAAGAGAUACAGACAGAAGCCUGAGAGGCAAGGAGGGUUGGCUUUACUACUUAGGAGUAAAUUAAAAAUUAGGCAUUAUUUUUGCACUUUCCAAUGCUUUACAGGGUUCUCAGUACAUGUAGCAAAAAUUGUCAAUUACUGUAUAGCUCCUCCUUGAAUAUACAGACAGCUUGGAUUCUACACUGUGGUGAAGGCUACUUGCAGUUCUGAGCAUGUUUCCCUGUGCUUUCCACUGGGUACAUAGCUCCAAGAGGAGCACUGCCUCCCGAGUUCAGUUCCUAGUAUAUCCUAUUAAGGGCAUUGUACUAAAGAGCAGUUUUCUUUUCUUUCUUUCUUUUUUUUCCCCCCAGCUGACACAAGGGCUUAACAGAUUAAUUCAUUAGUCCUUAAUAUCUUUUCCUUCUAAGGCCUGGUUCAAGUCAGUGCUCUUUGAUUAGCGCUAUCUUUUCCAGGACUGUGCUGAGCUGUUUUGCAUCUCAGUUCUGCUUGGCAUUCUUUCCAGAGAGGGAGGUGAAAAGCUUAAAGAAAAACAAAGAGACUUGUAAAGUUUGUAAAAUCACAUCAUCUAGUGAUAAACUUUUUCAAACGUGCCAUGUUUUCUGACUGGGCAAAUAUAAAUGAUCAAUUUUCCACAUAAGCAAUUUAUUUAAGAAGGGAAAUAUAUAUAUGUAUGUAUAUAAAUACCACUGCUGGUGGGUGCUAAAGAAUAUGGUUUAUUUCAGCAAUAGGUUCUUAAAACUUAGUAGUUUUACUGAAUUAUUGGUGCAAUAAACCUUAUGGGUUUGUUACAGCAUUAACUGCCCACUGUUUACUUCAAGCUGUUAAUCAAUACACCAGCCAUUACUGCUGGCAACUUGCAGUAUUUUGAGGAUUAUUAUUAAUGUUUUUAGUUACAAUUUCUUUCUGGCUUUUUUCCC
rnacentral:lncRNA from 1 species